AGGUGGUGCAUGGUUGUCGUCAGCUCGUGUCGUGAGAUGUUGGGUUAAGUCCCGCAACGAGCGCAACCCUCGACCUUAGUUGCCAGCAUUCAGUUGGGCACUCUAAGGUGACUGCCGGCUAAAAGUCGGAGGAAGGUGGGGGAUGACGUCAAAUCAUCAUGCCCUUAUGACCUGGGCUACACACGUGCUACAAUGGGCGGUACAAAGGGUCGCGAACCCGCGAGGGGGAGCCAAUCCCAAAAAGCCGCUCUCAGUUCGGAUUGCAGGCUGCAACUCGCCUGCAUGAAGCCGGAAUCGCUAGUAAUCGCGGAUCAGCAUGCCGCGGUGAAUACCGGUUCCCGGGCCUU
rnacentral:rRNA from 1 species